rnacentral:rRNA from 1 species
GAAGGUGUGCUGUGAGGCAUGCUGGAGGUAUCAGAAGUGCGAAUGCUGACAUAAGUAACGAUAAAGCGGGUGAAAAGCCCGCUCGCCGGAAGACCAAGGGUUCCUGUCCAACGUUAAUCGGGGCAGGGUGAGUCGACCCCUAAGGCGAGGCCGAAAGGCGUAGUCGAUGGGAAACAGGUUAAUAUUCCUGUACUUGGUGUUACUGCGAAGGGGGGACGGAGAAGGCUAUGUCAGCCGGGCGACGGUUGUCCCGGUUUAAGCAUGUAGGCGGAGGUUCCAGGUAAAUCCGGUACCUUAUUAACGCUGAGGUGUGAUGACGAGGCACUACGGUGCUGAAGUGAUAAAUGCCCUGCUUCCAGGAAAAGCCUCUAAGCAUCAGGUAACACGAAAUCGUACCCCAAACCGACACAGGUGGUCAGGUAGAGAAUACCAAGGCGCUUGAGAGAACUCGGGUGAAGGAACUAGGCAAAAUGGUGCCGUAACUUCGGGAGAAGGCACGCUGAUAUGUAGGUGAAGUCCCUGCGGACGGAGCUGAAAUCAGUCGAAGAUACCAGCUGGCUGCAACUGUUUAUUAAAAACACAGCACUGUGCAAACACGAAAGUGGACGUAUACGGUGUGACGCCUGCCCGGUGCCGGAAGGUUAAUUGAUGGGGUUAGCGGCAACGCGAAGCUCUUGAUCGAAGCCCCGGUAAACGGCGGCCGUAACUAUAACGGUCCUAAGGUAGCGAAAUUCCUUGUCGGGUAAGUUCCGACCUGCACGAAUGGCGUAAUGAUGGCCAGGCUGUCUCCACCCGAGACUCAGUGAAAUUGAACUCGCUGUGAAGAUGCAGUGUACCCGCGGCAAGACGGAAAGACCCCGUGAACCUUUACUAUAGCUUGACACUGAACACUGGUCCUUGAUGUGUAGGAUAGGUGGGAGGCUUUGAAGCGUGGACGCCAGUCUGCGUGGAGCCAACCUUGAAAUACCACCCUUUAAUGGCUGGUGUUCUAACGUAGACCCGUAAUCCGGGUUGCGGACAGUGUCUGGUGGGUAGUUUGACUGGGGCGGUCUCCUCCCAAAGAGUAACGGAGGAGCACGAAGGUUGGCUAAUCCUGGUCGGACAUCAGGAGGUUAGUGCAAUGGCAUAAGCCAGCUUGACUGCGAGCGUGACGGCGCGAGCAGGUGCGAAAGCAGGUCAUAGUGAUCCGGUGGUUCUGAAUGGAAGGGCCAUCGCUCAACGGAUAAAAGGUACUCCGGGGAUAACAGGCUGAUACCGCCCAAGAGUUCAUAUCGACGGCGGUGUUUGGCACCUCGAUGUCGGCUCAUCACAUCCUGGGGCUGAAGUAGGUCCCAAGGGUAUGGCUGUUCGCCAUUUAAAGUGGUACGCGAGCUGGGUUUAGAACGUCGUGAGACAGUUCGGUCCCUAUCUGCCGUGGGCGCUGGAGAAUUGAGGGGGGCUGCUCCUAGUACGAGAGGACCGGAGUGGACGCAUCACUGGUGUUCGGGUUGUCAUGCCAAUGGCACUGCCCGGUAGCUAAAUGCGGAAGAGAUAAGUGCUGAAAGCAUCUAAGCACGAAACUUGCCCCGAGAUGAGUUCUCCCUGAGACCUUGAGUCUCCUGAAGGAACGUUGAAGACUACGACGUUGAUAGGUCGGGUGUGUAAGCGCAGCGAUGCGUUGAGCUAACCGAUACUAAUGAACCGUGAGGCUUAACCUUACAACGCCGAAGCUGUU